GGUUCUCAGGUCGUGUGUGUUCGAGUAUUGAUGAAGCUCCGCUCUGAUUGUGACACGGGAAAAGGCUUUUAUAUAUGUAGAGUCCUCUAGUCUUAAUUAUUUUGUAUAAUUAAUAAUACUUUAUUUAACUCAAAGAUUUGUUUUAAACUCGUAUUCUACCCAUUAAUGUUAUUAGUAAGGUUUUGAAGUAAUUUGUAAUAUCUCGA
rnacentral:lncRNA from 1 species